rnacentral:rRNA from 1 species
UACGUAGGGUCCGAGCGUUGUCCGGAAUUAUUGGGCGUAAAGGGCUCGUAGGCGGUCUGUUGCGUCGGGAGUGAAAACUUACAGCUUAACUGUGAGCGUGCUUCCGAUACGGGCAGACUUGAGGUAUUCAGGGGAGAACGGAAUUCCGGUGUAGCGGUGAAAUGCGCAGAUAUCAGGAGGAACACCGGUGGCGAAGGCGGUUCUCUGGGAAGUAUCCUGACGCUGAGGAGCGAAAGUGUGGGGAGCGAACAGG